CUUUUGAAUUUAAUUUAAAAUAUUUAUUUUUCUAUUAAUAUAGAACCUUGGGCAGUAGUCGUUGAAUUGAGCAUUAAUGCAAAUCCAAUUUAUUGCACAACUGAUUAUUUAUUCAAUUGAACUUGUACGUCGACAAUGUGACCCUCAACGAUUUUAAAGAUUUAAUUAUUAGACAUAAAACACAGUUAGAAAUUAUUGCCUGGCCAACAUUUUCAUGCUAAUAGAUGAUUCAGAAACAAAUAUCUAUAUUUCUUUUCCUACGAAAAAGUAAGAUCAAACUAAAACAUUAGAAGCUUGUUUACCGUAUAUUUU